GGGGGCGAAACGGCUUCGACGGGGAUAAAAAAGCUUAAGUUGCAUAUCGAGGUUCUGUUUGCUCGUUAAACAGGCAGAAAACAAUAAACGCAGACGAUUAUGCGUAUGCUUUAGCCGCUUAAAAGGCUAACGUCCUUCCAUUUUUUUCCUGUGAGAAUGGAUUUGGGCGCCGACUAGCAGGAUAG
rnacentral:tmRNA from 1 species